AAAAUGCGAUAAGUAAUGUGAAUUGCAGAAUUCAGCGAAUCAUCGAAUCUUUGAACGCACAUUGCACCCGGCGGCAAUCCGCCGGGUAUGCCUGUUCGAGCGUCAUUUCAACCCUCGGGUCCGCCGUGACCCGGCGUUGGGGGCCUGCGGUCUUCGGCAUCGCAGCCCCCCAAAUACAGUGGCGGGCCCGCCGCGGAACCCCCUGCGUAGUAGAGCUUCUGUCUUCGCAUCGGGUGCCGGCGGAGCCUGGCCGUCAAAGCGCCCCCUCGGCACUUUCAUUUCCGGUUGACCUCGAAUCAGGUAGGGUUACCCGCUGAACUUAA
rnacentral:misc_RNA from 1 species